rnacentral:rRNA from 1 species
AGUGAACGCUGGCGGUAGGCCUAACACAUGCAAGUCGAACGGCAGCACAGUAAGAGCUUGCUCUUACGGGUGGCGAGUGGCGGACGGGUGAGGAAUACAUCGGAAUCUACUUUUUCGUGGGGGAUAACGUAGGGAAACUUACGCUAAUACCGCAUACGACCUACGGGUGAAAGCAGGGGAUCUUCGGACCUUGCGCGAUUGAAUUAGCCGAUGUCGGAUUAGCUAGUUGGCGGGGUAAAGGCCCACCAAGGCGACGAUCCGUAGCUGGUCUGAGAGGAUGAUCAGCCACACUGGAACUGAGACACGGUCCAGACUCCUACGGGAGGCAGCAGUGGGGAAUAUUGGACAAUGGGCGCAAGCCUGAUCCAGCCAUGCCGCGUGGGUGAAGAAGGCCUUCGGGUUGUAAAGCCCUUUUGUUGGGAAAGAAAAGCAGCAGGUUAAUACCCCGCUGUUCUGACGGUACCCAAAGAGUAAGCACCGGCUAACUUCGUG